GUGCUUGCUUCAGCAGCUCAAGCACUAAACCUGGAACAAUACAGAAAAGAUCAAAUGGCCCCUGCACACAGAUGACAUCCAAAUUCACGAAGCAACCCAUAUUUUU
rnacentral:snRNA from 1 species